GGAGGAUUAGCUCAGCUGGGAGAGCAUCUGCCUUACAAGCAGAGGGUCGGCGUAAGGCAACGGAUUUUGAUUCCGUCAUGCCUAGGUUCGAAUCCUAGUACCCCAGCCA
rnacentral:tRNA from 1 species